rnacentral:lncRNA from 1 species
GGUCUUAUUUUCUCCAGGAAUGACCUCUGUUUUUUUAGGUUAAACUCAAGCUGGAUAUUGAGCAUGCCACAUGCUCUGCCAGAACUGAAUUCUGCUCCGAGGAGAAGACUGCGCUCUCUGUGAGCAUAGUAAAACGGGCUCAUCGCUACCGCAUGGGGAAACUUUCCUCUUCACCACUGUUCUGGUAAAUCAGAGCAUUUCAAUAAGUUUGUUCUUGAGCUGGCUAGAACUUUGCAAUGAAAAAUACCUGGAGUCCAAACUGAGUGCCUUUUUGAGAGGAAGCAGAGGAGGAGAAGGAACUGCAUUGUUGAUUUGGUGAUAAAUAGGCUUCUCCACCAACACUGACAUCUGUGUGAAGAACAGCCCCGCAAGAUGAUGGAGCACCAUUGAUUUUUCAUAAAAGUUUAAUAAGAUGAUACAGGCCAAAAGCUUUGCAAAGUUUGCUAUAAAUUGUAGUGAGGAGCAGAGCAAGAUGUAAUUGGAUAAGAAAAUGUAAAUGAAACUUGCUCACGUUCAGCAGAGAUGAUGAGAGGAUCCUGGAGUGACA